rnacentral:rRNA from 1 species
AGGAUAAACGCCGGCGGCGUGCCUAACACAUGCAAGUCGAACGCGCUUUCGGGCUUCGGUGCGAGAGCGAGUGGCGGACGGGUGAGUAACACAUGGGUACCUACCUUGGAGUGAGGGAUACCGGCGAGAAAUCGCCGACAAUACCGCAUAGGCUUCUUCACAAGGGAAGCAAAGUGACGCGAGUCACGCUGUGAGAUGGGCCUGUGGCCGAUUAGCUAGUUGGGGGGGUAACGGCUUCCCAAGGCGACGAUCGGUAGCUGGUCUGAGAGGACGAUCAGCCACACUGGGAUUGAGAACGGCCCAGACUCCUACGGGGGGCAGCAGUGAGGAAUUUUCCGCAAUGGAGGCAACUCUGACGGAGCAACGCCGCGUGCAGGAGGAAGGUUUUCGGAUCGUAAACUGCUUUUCUCGGGGACGAGCAAGGACGGUACCCGGAGGAACGAAGCCCCGGCUAACUACGUGCCAGCAGCCGC